rfam:Picea glauca, whole genome shotgun sequence.
ACAUCCAUGGUUGAAUGAUUAAGGCACCAAACUCAUAAUUGGUGAAAUCAUGGGUUCAAUUCCUACUUGAUGCA